GCACUUCCAAAACGGCACAUCCUCCAAGCGAGUCAGAGAAGACGACCGGUGCGGCCCAAAUCCAGAAAUCCAGUGGUUUUAUUGCUCUCUUUGUAGCUUUCCUUUCCUUGGCAUUAUCAGCCUAGAUUUUUCAUUUUCAGUGUAGAAGAAGACUGCUUCCAAUAAAUUAGUUUUUACUUUCAGACAUUUCAGCUUUAUUUCUUGUUCCUCUUGUUAAUAAUUUAGUAUAAAUGUAUGGUCGCUUUUUUUUUUUUUUUUUUGUUAUUAUAGUAUGAUCCCUUUGUGUCCAAAAAAUAUUUUUCUGAAAUAUAAUGUUUUUUUUAAUUUAUUUUUUGAAUUAUAAUGUUUUAAAAAAUUGGAAAAAAAAUUAAUCCCUUUUAUAAGAACAUUUUUUCUUUCCUAUUAGUUUUUAACAUUCUUAAUGUUUUUACAAUCAUAUAAAUUAAGACUUCAUAUCUUUAAUCAGCAUGUAAAUAUUCAAUACUACAAUCAUAUGAAUAAUAUUCAAUAUUCAUAUCUUUAAUUCUUCUGAUUUUCAUUUUCUUCUAAGCUCACUACAACUAUAGAACCUCUCUUUCAAGUUCCGUGGGCACACCACACUUAAACUAGGAUAUUCCCCACAGCGAGCAAUAAAAUAUAGUCGCCAUUACAUCUCAAUAAAUGUUGGAAUAUUUUUUAUUGUACAUCUCAAAUCUCAAAUAUUUGUUUCUUAUUAUAGGUUGAAAAAUUCAUGUAUAUAUAUUUUUUAAAUCUUAAUGGAUGCUUAGGUUAUGAUUUGUGAUAUGAAUUCUUCAAUUAUUUGAGUAAUAAAAAUAACUUCAAACAUCUUAAAAUCAUGUUAAAAGACCAAACCAAAACGUAAUUAAUAUUUUGGUUUGGUUUUUUUACUUUAAAUGGUCUGAUUUGGUUGGGGAAGAAAUGCUACUGAAAUUUUCGAUUUGGCUUGAAAAAUAUUAUAAAACUGAGUUCCAAAAAUUUAAUUGUAGCUGUGAUUUUGGGACCUUUUUUUUUUAAACAUUCUAACCUAAUAGAUAUUAGAAAAGGCUGUUUAAACUCCCAUUUCCAUUUCAUGCAUUGGAUGAUUAUGGAAAAACCCAGGGGCUUUCUAGUAACUUAUCCUGUAUUAUAAAUAGAAAAUACUUAUUUACACUAGAUGUAUUUUCAUAACUCAUUUGUUUGAAAAUGACUUACCUACAUUUGGUGUAUAGUCUCACCUAUAUACCAACCUAAUCCUAUAAAGUUAUUUGGUGUGGACGAGGGUGGUAUUUCCUUUUCACUAUGGGAAAAAAAACAUGAUAAACUAUUAAAAUAUAAUGACAAACUUUUCUAAAUAGUAAUUCACUAAUGGCUUGGUGUAUGGAUGGUCGUGUACCUUUGGUGUAAGCAUAGUUAAUUGUCAUUUAAAAAAUUAUACCUCUUAUUAUUGCUUUGCUUUUGUUUUUUUUUUUUUUUUUCUCCCAAUGAAAAACACACACUCUUAUUUACACCAAUUCAAUUGUCGUAAUACCUGUUUAGGCAAUUUGUUCACAUUAUAAACAGACAAAAGGCUUUCCUUCUUUGUAAAUCCCAUCAGAACUUUGUAUAUUUUACAAAUAAACAAAAAAUGACAAGAUCUUGAACAUUCAUUACAUGCUUCUACAUGGAAAUUAUCUAAAGUCAUAAUCUUUACUUGGAAGGAAGACAAACUUGGAUUUGACACAGAAUCAAAAAGGAAAACAAAGAAAGCCUUGUCUUCAUUUCCUUUCAUUCUUGGAAUAAAAUCUAAGAACAACAUAGAAGAAUAGCCGAUAAAGAACUCCCCAAGCAAGUAAAAUGGCAACAUCAUACCACAGGUUGUCCAUCUUAAUAUCCAUUGAGGAUAAAAUAUCUUCUCCGAUCAACUGACAGUUGUUUAUAAAAUCAGCAUGCUGUUUGCUAAGUUUGAUCUCACCUAGAGGACCUGGGGAAAGAUCUGCAUCAGCUCCAUUAUAGCAUCUUGUUCCUUUGAACUCAUUUGAUAACAUUGCUUCAAAUGGAUAUUUUAUUGCAGAUAUGUAAUGUAGCCACCUCCAGUAGACUGGUAUCUGUGUACGCUUCAAGAAGAACCCACAAGUUAGGAAGAAGAGAGCAGUUGUGGCAAUCACAACUGCAUAUCCUGUGAUAUAACUUGGGACUAGUGCACUAACAAGCAUCACAUAAGCAUUUGUAGUUAUGAGAGAGGCAUAAAGAAUUAUCCAAAAUUUGAAUAGGCUGCUUUUCAAAUGCACCAUGAAUUUGGUUAUGGCAGCAAAUGUGAAACCUUGGAUGGCAAAAAAUGGGAGAUAGACUAUAAGAGAGGCGAUAACAUAAGAAGAAGCGCGGUAAGCAUUGUGGGAAGUUUCUCUAAUGAAGAUAUAUCGUUCUUGGAUGAAUGUUGGGACAGCAUCAUUAGAGGAAAAGAAAAUCAGGCAAACUGCAAAAAUGUAGAAAUUCAAAAGCCUGCUGAUGGUUUUGAAUGUAUCUUCGCUCAGGUUCUUGAAAAGUGAGGAAAGAAUUAAUGCCAUGACAGUUAAUACGACCUCUCUUGAGAGAAAGAGUUCUGGAGUGCGAACAACAUUAAGUGCUGUUCGCCAUGAGAGGACUACAAUUUCACGGAGCCAUGGAUUAGCAAAUUUAGGACCAUGUGUAGGUUCAUCAAGCAUUUCUUCAUCCUCCAUGUCAAAUUCUUCAUAAGAUGUAGCAUAUGAAUCAACUGAGGAGCUGAAGACUACAGGAGUUUUUGGGCGAGAAGGGACUUGUUGAGGUGUUCGGUAUCUGUUUGAGAGUUGACUUCUUACAGCAGAGAUUGGUGUUUUUGCUGGAGUUCUUGCAGGAGUCCAUGUCGGUGCAUGGCGAGGAGUUCCUUUAACACCAUGGUAGAGCCAGACUGAAAAAUCUUUGUAAAACUGUGAAGCUAAACGUGGAUAAACACCACUUUGCAUGUGCAUUGAUGUCGGCACAGUUUUACGUUCAAGGGAGUUAUCAAAGUUAUCAUCAUCAUCAAAAUCAAAAUCAAAUCGUUCCGAGUCUGUUCGAGGUGUCAUAUUUCCAUUAAUUGAGAAUGCUUGGCUACGAAGGCUAAUGGCAUGCUUGGAUCCAGGGGUACUCAUAUAUGGAGUCCUUGGCGUUUUUGGGGUCUUUGGAGUCUUGGGGAUAGGUGUCCUAGCUAGUUGAUCUGGUUUGAUUCCCUCUCUUUGGUAAAGAACAAGGGGCUCAAGUCCUACAGUGGACUCAUCAUACUCCUUGAUUACAUCAAGAAGAUACUCCAAGCUGUUUUCUCCAUCAGGAACUGGUCUUCCAAAUCCAGAGAGAUGGGCAGGAAGAGCACCUGGGCUUCCCAUAUAUAUUAGUCUGCCCCUGUUUGGAUUUUGAUAUAAUCAAACUUCAGCUAUGUGAAUAGAGACAAUUUUACUCUUAUGGAUCUAAAAAUUUAAAGUUCUAUCAUACCUAGCAAGAACUGUAAUGCGGUCUAAAAGCAUUUGAAUCCUGUAAGAAGGCUGGUGAAUGGUCAUCAAGAGGAUGAUUAUGGAAAAACCAAACUUGAAGGAUAACAAGAGUGCUACAAUUUUGAUCUUAUAACCUAUUUCAUUAGGAAAAAGCUAAAUAUCAUGCCUCAAAAUCUACUCUGUUUAAUACCUAGUGCAAAUUUUAAAAAAUUAUCCCAAUUUACUUGGGCUUGAUAGAUAUUUUAAAAGGGGAAAAUCACUACUUUGAUGUUUUUGUUACUCCAUAAGUGGGUAUGUGCUAUUUUAGUAUGAGACACUAGAGUUGCCAUGUCAGGCGGGACAAUAGUGGUAACAUAUGGUGGGUAACAAAGUAGGUAAUUGAUUGCCUACUUUUCCUUGUUAUAUAUGUUCAUUGGUCAACAAUAUAGUAUAUUUAAUUAUAUGAGAAAGUGAAAGGGUGAUCAAGAAUUAGGGUUGGCGAGGUAUUCUUGUUAAUCACUAAAUUGCAGUUGUGGGUCAGGGGUUCAGUUCCAUUUCCCAGCCUGAAGAACCAAGAAAGAGAGGAGAUUGCAGUACCGUUAAACCUAGUUGGUCAAGGAGAUCAUGGACUCUUUUUUUCUUCUCACUUCUUGAAAUGGAAGGAGGAAGCCUAACUUCAGCUGCAAACAUGAAUGUCUCAAAAACAGUCAACAUGGAGAAUAGUUGAUCAUCUUGCAUCACAUAAGAUGAAACCAUCUUCAUGUAGCUUGUAGUUACCUACACAACCAUAAGUUUACACAUUAUAUGCAUAUGUAUAUAUAUAUAUAUAUUUUAUUAGUGCAUAAGGCUUCCUGCUUUGUUAUGUACUAACCGGUUUUCCAUCUAUCCUAACAGAUCCCUCAAGACUGCCCUGUGCAAUCCGACCAGCUAAGGCAUCAAGGAAAGUGGAUUUUCCGGCACCACUAGGUCCCAUGAUGGCCAUAAUUUCACCUCUCACAGCCUGACCAGAUAUAUCAUUCAGAAGAUAAGCUUCCUUGGUGAUCCAAGCACCAUCUUUCUUAAGUUUCUUCUUCACACUAUACGAUACAUUUUUGAACUCAAGUCCAUGGCCUGGAGUUAUGUUCCGAGCCUCCGGCGGGACAGCAUUUUUCUUCACCACCGCUGUCUUGUCCAUGUCCAUUAGAGUCUCAAGGCUUUUGUUUCUGUUUACCUUAGCCAUUGAGAAGAACUGAGCAAAGCAAAGCACCCCUUAGCCUUAUUUUAUGGGUUAUGAGAUGGGGUUUUUAAGAAAUGAAGUUUGAGUUGUGAAAUGGUAUUAAAAGGGGAAAGAAAUAUAGGCGUGAGAUGUAGACAAAAAUGUGGAUGGAUUAAACUCAAUGAAAUGGAGUUGGCAUUUUGUGAGAAUAUAACCCUUAGCCUUAUUUUAUGGGUUAUGAGAUGGGGUUUUUAAGAAAUGAAGUUUGAAUUGUGAAAUGGUAUUAAAAGGGGAAAGAAAUAUAGGCGUGAGAUGUAGACAAAAAUGUGGAUGGGUUAAACUCAAUGAAAUGGAGUUGGCAUUUUGUGAGAAUAUAAGGAGACGGCAAGUGACAGGUCCCACCGCUUCUCACAUAGUUUUUCUCUAAUUUGCUUUGAUUUUGCCGAAGCUUUUGUUAUUUUAUACAAUACAUACAACUAUCACACUCUUAACUUUGAAGCAUUUUAGGUGACAAAAUAAGAUAUGCCCUUUACUUGGUAAUUAUUACGAUUUUCAUAGGAAAAAUAAAGUUUUUUUCAGUUUUUAUUAUAUAAAGUCGGAAAAAACUAAAAAUAUUCAAAAUCAAAUUGAGUUGAUUCAAAAAUAAAGUCAUUUAAAAAAAAAAUUGAAUCAAACCAAAUUAGUUCAGUCUAAUUUGAUCUUAUAAAUAGUUCGGUUGUAUUUGGUCUUUUUCUAAAAAAUUCGGUUUAUUCUGUUAUAAUAUUGCUUUAAUUCAAAUGAAGCUGGCUGAAUUAUCUAAUUCUACUUGUUUUCAGCAACUUCACCAAUCAGUGCUCCAUCACCAUCACCUCUGUCGCCUCCAUCACCUCCAUCAAAUUCUGCUAAUAAUGGUGAGUUCCUUUUUUUUUUUUUUUUCUGGUCUACGAGUUGUCGUUUUCAUGUACUAACGUUUUAGUAUAUUGGUUAACAGGCACUUCCAAAACGGCACCUCCUCCAAGCGAGUCAGAGAAGACGACCGGUGCGGCCCAAAUUCAGAAAUGCAGUGGUUUUAUUGCUCUCUUUGUAGCUUUCCUUUCCUUGGCAUUAUCAGCCUAGAUUUUUCAUUUUCAGUGUAGAAGAAGACUGCUUCCAAUAAAUUAGUUUUUACUUUCAGACAUUUCAGCUUUAUUUCUUGUUCCUCUUGUUAAUAAUUUAGUAUAAAUGUAUGGUCGCA
rnacentral:lncRNA from 1 species